rnacentral:rRNA from 1 species
CGUAGGGUGCGAGCGUUGUCCGGAAUUAUUGGGCGUAAAGAGCUUGUAGGCGGUUUGUCGCGUCUGCUGUGAAAAUCCGGGGCUCAACCCCGGACUUGCAGUGGGUACGGGCAGACUAGAGUGUGGUAGGGGAGACUGGAAUUCCUGGUGUAGCGGUGGAAUGCGCAGAUAUCAGGAGGAACACCGAUGGCGAAGGCAGGUCUCUGGGCCACUACUGACGCUGAGAAGCGAAAGCAUGGGGAGCGAACAGGAUUAGAUACCCUGGUAGUCCAUGCCGUAAACGUUGGGAACUAGGUGUGGGUCUCAUUCCACGAGAUCCGUGCCGCAGCUAACGCAUUAAGUUCCCCGCCUGGGGAGUACGGCCGCAAGGCUA